CAUGCAAGUCGAACGGUAGCACAGAGAGCUUGCUCUCGGGUGACGAGUGGCGGACGGGUGAGUAAUGUCUGGGAAACUGCCUGAUGGAGGGGGAUAACUACUGGAAACGGUAGCUAAUACCGCAUAACGUCGCAAGACCAAAGAGGGGGACCUUCGGGCCUCUUGCCAUCAGAUGUGCCCAGAUGGGAUUAGCUAGUAGGUGGGGUAACGGCUCACCUAGGCGACGAUCCCUAGCUGGUCUGAGAGGAUGACCAGCCACACUGGAACUGAGACACGGUCCAGACUCCUACGGGAGGCAGCAGUGGGGAAUAUUGCACAAUGGGCGCAAGCCUGAUGCAGCCAUGCCGCGUGUAUGAAGAAGGCCUUCGGGUUGUAAAGUACUUUCAGCGGGGAGGAAGGUGUUGCGGUUAAUAACCGCAGCAAUUGACGUUACCCGCAGAAGAAGCACCGGCUAACUCCGUGCCAGCAGCCGCGGUAAUACGGAGGGUGCAAGCGUUAAUCGGAAUUACUGGGCGUAAAGCGCACGCAGGCGGUCUGUCAAGUCGGAUGUGAAAUCCCCGGGCUCAACCUGGGAACUGCAUUCGAAACUGGCAGGCUAGAGUCUUGUAGAGGGGGGUAGAAUUCCAGGUGUAGCGGUGAAAUGCGUAGAGAUCUGGAGGAAUACCGGUGGCGAAGGCGGCCCCCUGGACAAAGACUGACGCUCAGGUGCGAA
rnacentral:rRNA from 1 species